UUCCGGUUGAUCCUGCCGGACCUGACUGCUAUCGGAUUGAUACUAAGCCAUGCGAGUCAUUGUAGCAAUACAAGGCAGACGGCUCAGUAACGCGUAGUCAACCUACCCUAUGGACGGGAAUAACCUCGGGAAACUGAGAAUAAUGCCCGAUAGAACACUAUACCUGGAAUGGUUUGUGUUCCAAAUGAUUUAUCGCCGUAGGAUGGGACUGCGGCCUAUCAGUUUGUUGGUGAGGUAAUGGCCCACCAAGACUAUUACAGGUACGGGCUCUGAGAGGAGUGGCCCGGAGAUGGGUACUGAGACACGGACCCAGGCCCUAUGGGGCGCAGCAGGCGAGAAAACUUUGCAAUGUGCGAAAGCACGACAAGGUUAAUCCGAGUGGUUUCUGCUAAAGGAACCUUUUGUCGGUCCUAGAAACACCGAUGAAUAAGGGGUGGGCAAGUUCUGGUGUCAGCCGCCGCGGUAAAACCAGCACCUCAAGUGGUCAGGAUGAUUAUUGGGCCUAAAGCAUCCGUAGCCCGCUUUGUUAGUUUUCGGUUAAAUCUGUACGCUCAACGUACAGGCUGCCGGGAAUACUGCAAAGCUAGGGAGUGGGAGAGGUAGACGGUACUCGGUAGGAAGGGGUAAAAUCCUUUGAUCUAUUGAUGACCACCUGUGGCGAAGGCGGUCUACCAGAACACGUCCGACGGUGAGGGAUGAAAGCUGGGGGAGCAAACCGGAUUAGAUACCCGGGUAGUCCCAGCUGUAAACCAUGCAAACUCAGUGAUGCAUUGGCUUGUGGCCAAUGCAGUGCUGCAGGGAAGCCGUUAAGUUUGCCGCCUGGGAAGUACGUACGCAAGUAUGAAACUUAAAGGAAUUGGCGGGGGAGCACCACAAGGGGUGAAGCCUGCGGUUCAAUUGGAUUCAACGCCGGA
rnacentral:rRNA from 1 species